UACGAAGGGGGCUAGCGUUGCUCGGAAUCACUGGGCGUAAAGGGCGCGUAGGCGGCCGAUCAAGUCAGAGGUGAAAGCCCAAGGCUCAACCUUGGAAUUGCCUUUGAUACUGUUCGGCUUGAGACCGGAAGAGGUUAGUGGAACUGCGAGUGUAGAGGUGAAAUUCGUAGAUAUUCGCAAGAACACCAGUGGCGAAGGCGGCUCACUGGCCCGGUACUGACGCUGAGGUGCGAAAGCGUGGGGAGCAAACAGG
rnacentral:rRNA from 1 species